UACAUCAAUGACAUUAUCGUGUGGGGCGAUACAGCAGAAGAAGUCUUUGAGAAAGAGAGGAAAAUAAUCCAAACCCUGCUGAAAGCCAGUUUUGCCAUAAAACGGAGUAAGGUCAAGGGAUCUGCGCAGGAGAUUCAAUUUGAGGGAAUAAAAUGGCAAGAUGGAUGUUGCCAGAUCCCCACAGAUGUGAUCAACAAGAUAACAGCAAUAUUUCCACCAACUAAUGAGAAAGAAACACAAGCUUUCUUGGGUGCUGUGGAGUUCUGAAGAAUGCCCAUCCCAAAUUACAGUUCGGUUGUAAGCCCUCUAUAUCAUGUGGCCCAGAAGAAGAAUGAUUUCAAAUGGGGCCCUGAGCAACAACAAGCCUUUGAGCAACUUAAAAGAGAGAUAGUUCAUGCAGUGGCCCUCAGAGCAGUUCAGACCAGGACAGAUGUAAAAAUUGUGCUCUACACCGCAGCCAGGGAGAAUGAUCCUACCUGGAGCCUCUGGCAGAAAGCUCCAGGGGAGACUUGAGGUCAACCCCUCGGCUUUUGGAGUCAGGGAUACAGAGGAUCUGAGGCCAGCUAUACCCCAACUGAGAAAGAGAUACUGGCAGCCUAUGAAGGGGUUUGAGCUGCUUUGGAAGUGAUUGGCACUGAAGUACAGCUCCUCCUGACACCCCGGUUGCCCAGGCUGGGCUGGAUGUUCAAAGGCAGGGUCUCCUAUACACAUCACACAAAUGAUUCUACAUGGAGUAAGUGGGUUGCACUAAUUACACAACGAGCUCAAAUAGGAAAUCCCAGUCGUCCAGGAAUUCUAGAAGUCAUCAUGGACUAGCCAGAGGGCAAAGAUUUUGGAAUGUCACCAGAGGAGGAGGAGGUGAUGCGUGCUGAAGAGGCCCCACCAUAUAAUCAGCUGUCAGAAAGUGAAAAGCAGUAUGCCUUGUUUACUGAUGGGUCCUGCCGUAUUGUGGGAAAACAUCGGAGA